rnacentral:rRNA from 1 species
AACGAACGCUGGCGGCAGGCUUAACACAUGCAAGUCGAACGAGAAAGCUCUUCGGAGCGAGUAGAGUGGCGCACGGGUGAGUAACACGUAGGUAACCUACCUCAAAGGCGGGGGAUAACAUGAAGAAAUUCAUGCUAAUACCGCAUAAGCACUACGGUGUAAAGAUGGCCUCUCCUUGGAAGCUAUCACUUUGAGAUGGGCCUGCGGGACAUUAGCUAGUUGGUGGGGUAAGAGCCUACCAAGGCGACGAUGUCUAGCCGGUCUGAGAGGAUGAUCGGCCACACUGGAACUGAGACACGGUCCAG